rnacentral:rRNA from 1 species
UUAAGUUAUUAAGGGCGCACGGUGGAUGCCUUGGCACUAGAAGCCGAUGAAGGACGUUACUAACGACGAUAUGCUUUGGGGAGCUGUAAGUAAGCUUUGAUCCAGAGAUUUCCGAAUGGGGAAACCCAGCAUGAGUUAUGUCAUGUUAUCGAUAUGUGAAUACAUAGCAUAUCAGAAGGCACACCCGGAGAACUGAAACAUCUUAGUACCCGGAGGAAGAGAAAGAAAAUUCGAUUCCCUUAGUAGCGGCGAGCGAAAUGGGAAGAGCCCAAACCAACAAGCUUGCUUGUUGGGGUUGUAGGACACUCUAUACGGAGUUACAAAGGACGACAUUAGACGAAUCAUCUGGAAAGAUGAAUCAAAGAAGGUAAUAAUCCUGUAGUCGAAAAUGUUGUCUCUCUUGAGUGGAUCCUGAGUACGACGGAGCACGUGAAAUUCCGUCGGAAUCUGGGAGGACCAUCUCCUAAGGCUAAAUACUCUCUAGUGACCGAUAGUGAACCAGUACCGUGAGGGAAAGGUGAAAAGCACCCCGGAAGGGGAGUGAAAUAGAACCUGAAACCGUGUGCUUACAAGUAGUCAGAGCCCGUUAAUGGGUGAUGGCGUGCCUUUUGUAGAAUGAACCGGCGAGUUACGAUUUGAUGCAAGGUUAAGCAGUAAAUGUGGAGCCGUAGCGAAAGCGAGUCUGAAUAGGGCGUUUAGUAUUUGGUCGGAGACCCGAAACCAGGUGAUCUACCCUUGGUCAGGUUGAAGUUCAGGUAACACUGAAUGGAGGACCGAACCGACUUACGUUGAAAAGUGAGCGGAUGAACUGAGGGUAGCGGAGAAAUUCCAAUCGAACCUGGAGAUAGCUGGUUCUCUCCGAAAUAGCUUUAGGGCUAGCCUCAAGUGAUGAUUAUUGGAGGUAGAGCACUGUUUGGACGAGGGGCCCCUCUCGGGUUACCGAAUUCAGACAAACUCCGAAUGCCAAUUAAUUUAACUUGGGAGUCAGAACAUGGGUGAUAAGGUCCGUGUUCGAAAGGGAAACAGCCCAGACCACCAGCUAAGGUCCCAAAAUAUAUGUUAAGUGGAAAAGGAUGUGGCGUUGCCCAGACAACUAGGAUGUUGGCUUAGAAGCAGCCAUCAUUUAAAGAGUGCGUAAUAGCUCACUAGUCGAGUGACACUGCGCCGAAAAUGUACCGGGGCUAAACAUAUUACCGAAGCUGUGGAUUGUCCUUUGGACAAUGGUAGGAGAGCGUUCUAAGGGCGUUGAAGCAUGAUCGUAAGGACAUGUGGAGCGCUUAGAAGUGAGAAUGCCGGUGUGAGUAGCGAAAGACGGGUGAGAAUCCCGUCCACCGAUUGACUAAGGUUUCCAGAGGAAGGCUCGUCCGCUCUGGGUUAGUCGGGUCCUAAGCUGAGGCCGACAGGCGUAGGCGAUGGAUAACAGGUUGAUAUUCCUGUACCACCUAUAAUCGUUUUAAUCGAUGGGGGGACGCAGUAGGAUAGGCGAAGCGUGCGAUUGGAUUGCACGUCUAAGCAGUAAGGCUGAGUAUUAGGCAAAUCCGGUACUCGUUAAGGCUGAGCUGUGAUGGGGAGAAGACAUUGUGUCUUCGAGUCGUUGAUUUCACACUGCCGAGAAAAGCCUCUAGAUAGAAAAUAGGUGCCCGUACCGCAAACCGACACAGGUAGUCAAGAUGAGAAUUCUAAGGUGAGCGAGCGAACUCUCGUUAAGGAACUCGGCAAAAUGACCCCGUAACUUCGGGAGAAGGGGUGCUCUUUAGGGUUAACGCCCAGAAGAGCCGCAGUGAAUAGGCCCAAGCGACUGUUUAUCAAAAACACAGGUCUCUGCUAAACCGUAAGGUGAUGUAUAGGGGCUGACGCCUGCCCGGUGCUGGAAGGUUAAGAGGAGUGGUUAGCUUCUGCGAAGCUACGAAUCGAAGCCCCAGUAAACGGCGGCCGUAACUAUAACGGUCCUAAGGUAGCGAAAUUCCUUGUCGGGUAAGUUCCGACCCGCACGAAAGGCGUAACGAUUUGGGCACUGUCUCAACGAGAGACUCGGUGAAAUCAUAGUACCUGUGAAGAUGCAGGUUACCCGCGACAGGACGGAAAGACCCCGUGGAGCUUUACUGUAGCCUGAUAUUGAAAUUCGGCACAGCUUGUACAGGAUAGGUAGGAGCCUUUGAAACGUGAGCGCUAGCUUACGUGGAGGCGCUGGUGGGAUACUACCCUAGCUGUGUUGGCUUUCUAACCCGCACCACUUAUCGUGGUGGGAGACAGUGUCAGGCGGGCAGUUUGACUGGGGCGGUCGCCUCCUAAAAGGUAACGGAGGCGCUCAAAGGUUCCCUCAGAAUGGUUGGAAAUCAUUCAUAGAGUGUAAAGGCAUAAGGGAGCUUGACUGCGAGACCUACAAGUCGAGCAGGGUCGAAAGACGGACUUAGUGAUCCGGUGGUUCCGCAUGGAAGGGCCAUCGCUCAACGGAUAAAAGCUACCCCGGGGAUAACAGGCUUAUCUCCCCCAAGAGUUCACAUCGACGGGGAGGUUUGGCACCUCGAUGUCGGCUCAUCGCAUCCUGGGGCUGUAGUCGGUCCCAAGGGUUGGGCUGUUCGCCCAUUAAAGCGGUACGCGAGCUGGGUUCAGAACGUCGUGAGACAGUUCGGUCCCUAUCCGUCGUGGGCGUAGGAAAUUUGAGAGGAGCUGUCCUUAGUACGAGAGGACCGGGAUGGACAUACCUCUGGUGUACCAGUUGUCGUGCCAACGGCAUAGCUGGGUAGCUAUGUGUGGACGGGAUAAGUGCUGAAAGCAUCUAAGCAUGAAGCCCCCCUCAAGAUGAGAUUUCCCAACUUCGGUUAUAAGAUCCCUCAAAGAUGAUGAGGUUAAUAGGUUCGAGGUGGAAGCAUGGUGACAUGUGGAGCUGACGAAUACUAAUCGAUCGAAGACUUAAUCAA